rnacentral:rRNA from 1 species
GCAUGUGGUUAAUUCGAGCACGGAGAACUUACCAUCCUUUGACAUGGCGUGUUAUGGGGGAGAGAUUCCCAGUCCUCUUCGGAGCGCGCACACAGGUGCUGCAUGGCUGUCGUCAGCUCGUGUCGUGAGAUGUUGGGUAAGUCCCGCAACGAGCGCAACCCACGUCCUUAGUUGCCAUCAUUCAGUGGGCACUCUAGGGAGACUGCCGGUGAUAAGCCGCGAGAAGGUGUGGAUGACGUCAAGUCCUCAUGGCCCUUACGGGAUGGGCUACACACGUGCUACAAUGGCGGUGACAGUGGGACGCGAAGGGGCGACCUGGAGCAAAUCCCCAAAAGCCGUCUCAGUUCGGAUUGCACUCUGCAACUCGGGUGCAUGAAGGCGGAAUCGCUAGUAAUCGUGGAUCAGCAUGCCACGGUGAAUACGUUCCCGGGCCUUGUACACACCGCCCGUCACACCAUGGGAGUUGGUCUUACCCGACGCGCUGCGCAACCGCAAGAGCAGGCGACCACGGUAGGUCAGCGACUGGGUGAGUC